GAUGAACGCUGGCGGCGUGCCUAAUACAUGCAAGUCGAGCGAACAGACGAGGAGCUUGCUCCUCUGACGUUAGCGGCGGACGGGUGAGUAACACGUGGAUAACCUACCUAUAAGACUGGGAUAACUUCGGGAAACCGGAGCUAAUACCGGAUAAUAUAUUGAACCGCAUGGUUCAAUGGUGAAAGACGGGUUUGCUGUCACUGAUAGAUGGAUCCGCGCCGCAUUAGCUAGUUGGUAAGGUAACGGCUUACCAAGGCAACGAUGCGUAGCCGACCUGAGAGGGUGAUCGGCCACACUGGAACUGAGACACGGUCCAGACUCCUACGGGAGGCAGCAGUAGGGAAUCUUCCGCAAUGGGCGAAAGCCUGACGGAGCAACGCCGCGUGAGUGAUGAAGGUCUUCGGAUCGUAAAACUCUGUUAUUAGGGAAGAACAAAUGUGUAAGUAACUAUGCACGUCUUGACGGUACCUAAUCAGAAAGCCACGGCUAACUACGUG
rnacentral:rRNA from 1 species